rnacentral:lncRNA from 1 species
GGGUUUGGUGGACAGGGCUGAGGGUAAGUGGAGGGCUUGUGCUCAGUGCACAGGCCUCCGUCCGUGAGGAGACUCUGUUGGGCCCACGUGGGGCAGAACCCAGGCAGAUGCCCCGAUUCUGAGCUAAAGUCGGGAGAGGAAGGCACUCUGGGCCGUCUCCUUUGGGAACAGCUAAGAGUAUUUUCUAUGAGGGAGGAACGAUGAAAAGGCAUCCCGUGACCAGAAGGACAGUCUCUAGCAGAAACCAUCAAUGAUUUCCACACAUCCGAGGCCUUGGCUCCCUGGUUGUGGCUGCACCUAGUUCCCAGUUGACGUGCAACCCCACGUGGCCACGCAGCUGAGCUUCAGGGAGGCUGUGAACGCCCAGCUCGGCUCAGGGCCAUGGAGGUGGUUGGGGCGCAGGGAUUCAGCUCGGCCCAGGGCAGUGGAGGUGGCCGGGGCGCAGGGAUUCAGCCGCCUUAGAGCGCGCCAGACAUUAGCCCCAGGCUGAGUGUUUUCCACAGAGAAUGCUAUUAACAGGAUCCCAGCUUUUGCCUCUCUGAGAGAUGGCAUGAAGGAGCCCACAGCCUCGUUGCACCAGGUGGCCCUGGCAAGGUGCAGCUUUGGGCUGUUUCUGCCGAGGCGGAGGCCUUCUCGCCCUGGUUGAACGGCUCGCAGGAUGAGGAAUCACCGCACCUGCCGCGUAAGAGCCGCUUGCAAGUUAAAUGGGGUGAACCUUUGAAGGACCUGCUGCGUUUUGGAUCCAGAGUUGGUUGAACACAAACUUUGGUGAGCCAACCGUCCCUGCUGUGGGGUGCAGCACGCAUGUGGACCACAGACUCACGGACACACACACACACGCUGGGGGAGCGUCGGCCCCACUCGAUGGUGACAAGUGUGCUCACACCCCGUUGCUAGAGCCUCCAGGGACCCUGCUUGGGAAGCCAGUCAUGACAGAGGCACCAAGAGGGCAGCCACAGCCCC